rnacentral:lncRNA from 1 species
GGUCAACAUUUGUUUCCUCUCCCAAAAUAAUUCGGCCAAAACACUUGAAUUCCGAUUGGGUGGGGGGAUUCUUUGUGAGCAUGAUGUGGGAGUGGUGCUCAUUCGAAAUGGACAACACAACCUCCAAAUGUCUCUUAGGUGGCUCUAUGAGUCGGGAAGGGAUCAAAAUACCAUCAUAAGAAGAAAGAGAAAGCUUUCUUAAGCAAGGCCAAAAUACCUCCUCCGUUGAAGCUUGAAAGAUGGACGGUCCUUCCACCCUCGACAAGGUAUGUAAAGGGGGGUCGGCCUCCUCCUUUUUAGUGCUAUAUUUGGCCUCACCAUCAAGCCCAAGCUCUUCACUUUCUUCCUCUAAAUUUUCAGUCUUAGUGGCUUCAUCUUUGCUUCCUGCUUGUCCCAUCUUGUUUUCCUCGUAAUUGGCCCUCAAGUUUUUGAGCAUGGGAAAGCUCCUUCUUAGGUUGUCUCAUAUGAUCAUGGCUUGCCCCNNNNNNNNNNNNNNNNNNNNCCUUUUUAGUGCUAUAUUUGGCCUCACCAUCAAGCCCAAGCUCUUCACUUUCUUCCUCUAAAUUUUCAGUCUUAGUGGCUUCAUCUUUGCUUCCUGCUUGUCCCAUCUUGUUUUCCUCGAAUUGGCCCUCAAGUUUUUGAGCAUGGGAAAGCUCCUUCUUAGGUUGUCUCAUAUGAUCAUGGCUUGCCCCAAUCUUCAUAUUCUCUCGGGCCUUAUCUAACUCCCUUCUUAUUAUCAUCAAUUGGCCCUCUCUCCACCUAUUUUCCCCAUAGCCAUGCUCCCCAUGGUGGCUAGCAUAGCUACUUGCUCCUUGAGUACUCCUAUACUCCCAACUCCUUAUCUUUUCUUCUCUUCUUUUUUCUUCAUCUCUCCUCACUUCUUUCUCCCUUCUUCUUUCUUCUUUUCUUCUUUCUUCUCUCAUCCUUAUGAACUCAUUUUUCCUCUCUCUUUCUUCCCUAUCCCUUAGAUCCUUUCUAAUUUUGGAUAGGGUCUCAUUUGCCCUCUUUAAACAAGCCUCACUCUCCUCUGUGAUGUUUACCAUGUUAACCCAAUUCUUUCACUUUAACCCUCUGGACUCCAUAAAAAAAAUUUUGUUCUCCAAAUCACCUCUUCUAACCUCCUUUGGUCGUCACCCAAGGGAUGAACCGACCCUUCCCUUUUAUAAAAAUUUGGAAUGAACACCACUCAAUCUUCUCCAAUUACAACAAAGAUUACAACAAGUAAAACUCUCUCUUUCUCCCAAGAGAGAUGUUUUGAAACUCUAUUUGCUCCCUACCUGAUGUAGUUGGAAAAGGGCACGAGGUACUACCACUAGCCUCCCUCUUGUACCGUCCCUAAUGUACCCUACAACGAAUAGUUGGGUCAAAUAGUGCCGGGUACUACCAUUAGCCUCCCUAUUGGCACCAUCCCUAUGAUGAGCAAGGUAGAGAUCAACCCGUUCCCUUUCAUAAAAAAAAAUGCUCACUCCUCUUUUGCAAAUAAGAAUGGUAAGUUGCGAAAAUUUAAGAAACCAAUGCAUGCAUAAUAAACUUCUAAUGUACCCUUCCACAAGCCCAACAAUUAAUAUGAAGGUAUCAUGAAGCA